AACAGGAUUAGAUACCCUGGUAGUCCACGCCGUAAACGGUGGGUACUAGGUGUGGGGGUCAUUCUACGACUUCCGUGCCGCAGCUAACGCAUUAAGUACCCCGCCUGGGGAGUACGGCCGCAAGGCUAAAACUCAAAGGAAUUGACGGGGCCCCGCACAAGCGGCGGAGCAUGCGGAUUAAUUCGAUGCAACGCGAAGAACCUUACCUGGGUUUGACAUAUACCGGAAACACCUAGAGAUAGGUGCCCCUUACGGUCGGUAUACAGGUGGUGCAUGGCUGUCGUCAGCUCGUGUCGUGAGAUGUUGGGUUAAGUCCCGCAACGAGCGCAACCCUCGUCCUAUGUUGCCAGCGGAUAAUGCCGGGGACUCAUAGGAGACCGCCGGGGUCAACUCGGAGGAAGGUGGGGAUGAGAUCAAGUCAUCAUGCCCCUUAUGUCCAGGGCUUCACGCAUGCUACAAUGGCCGGUACAAUGAGCAGCGAACCUGCAAGGGUAAGCGAAUCUCAAAAAGCCGGUCUCAGUUCGGAUUGGGGUCUGCAACUCGACCCCAUGAAGUCGGAGUCGCUAGUAAUCGCAGAUCAGCAACGCUGCGGUGAAUACGUUCCCGGGGCUUGUACACACCGCCCGUCAAGUCAUGAAAGUCGGUAACACCCGAAGCCGGUGGCCUAACCCUUGGGAGGGAGCCGUCGAAGGUGGGACCGGUAAUUAGGACUAAGUCGUAACAAGGUAACC
rnacentral:rRNA from 1 species